AGAUUGAACGCUGGCGGCAGGCCUAACGCAUGCAAGUCGAGCGCGAAAGUUUCUUCGGGAAUGAGUAGAGCGGCGGACGGGUGAGUAACGCGUGGGAAUUUGCCCAGUAGUGGGGGACAACUCGGGGAAACUCGAGCUAAUACCGCAUACGCCCUAUGGGGGAAAGCAGGGGAUCUUCGGACCUUGCGCUAUUGGAU
rnacentral:rRNA from 1 species